GCUGCAAACCGCACAUGGGUCUGGGGCGUCCUCCUGGGGCAGCCUGAGUGGGGCAGGCCCGGAGGCAGCGCACUCCCCAGUUGGACAGUUCUCAUUGUUAAAAAAUAAAAUUUAAUUUAAAAAAAAGGCUUUCCUGACGUCUGUUUACUUCUGCCCCUCCGCAAGCAAGAGGCAGGCUUGUCCCAAGCUUCCCGCCAAUGACAGCAGUCCCCUAGGGGAGUGGGCUGCCCCUACUUCGGGGGGAUCUUCAAGCCGAAGGUGGAGGACCCCCUCUCCAGGACGGAAUCUCAGUUUGGCAGCUGUGUGGAGCAUAACUUCAAAGAGGAGAGACUACAAGCAAUGAAACCAAGAAGGCCAUUGUUGGAAUCCAUGAGAGGUGGGGAUGUCCAGAAGAAAGCUGGUGACGUGCAACUGAUAUUCAGGGGGAAGAUGAAGUCUGAAUAUAGAGACUUGGAAGCCAUCUCCAUUAGGAAUUUCCAACAUUUUUUACCCUCCAGACCCCCUGGCUUUCAGUAAACCUUGUAUACCCUAACUCCAUAUGAAAGGAAAUAAAUUCUGGAGUUU